CGUUUCUGUAGAAAUUUCUAGGAAUGCGCUUGUCCAGAAGCGCACAAUAUUUUUAUAAAUUAUAGCUACUGCGCAAAACGCAUGUACAUCUAUUUUGUUAAUAAAUAAUUUUCGUCGAAAUAGCCGGCGUCAAUCUACGACGAAAAAGACAUGAGAAACCCACCCUCCGGCGACGAGAUGUAUCGCGGUAUCGCGAUCCAACAUUCUUCCACUUAAUCCUGUCACUCUGAGAACAUUAACUUCGACAAAAGACAGAACAAAAAAUACACUGUCAAGUUCACAUGCGAGAAACGCAGAGAAAUUGCGUAUAAUUGCAAUGUAUUAUUCUUUCGAUAGUUAACUUGGCUCUUGUCUCGACAAUCAAAUUAAAAAAGCGCG